rnacentral:rRNA from 1 species
CGAACGCUGGCGGCGUGCUUAACACAUGCAAGUCGAACGAUGAAGUUCCUUCGGGAAUGGAUUAGUGGCGAACGGGUGAGGAACACGUGAGAAACCUGCCUUUCAUUUUGGGAUAACUCCGGGAAACCGGGGCUAAUACCGAAUACUCCGUCUCGGCGGCAUCGCUGAGCCGGGAAAAAAUUUUGAUGAAAGAUGGUCUCGCGGCCUAUCAGCUAGUUGGUGAGGUAAUGGCUCACCAAGGCGACGAUCCGUAACUGGUCUGAGAGGAUGAUCAGUCACACUGGAACUGAGACACGGUCCAGACUCCUACGGGAGGCAGCAGUGGGGAAUAUCGGACAAUGGGCGAAAGCCUGAUCCAGCCAUGCCGCGUGUGUGAAGAAGGUCUUCGGAUUGUAAAGCACUUUAAGUUGGGAGGAAGGGCAUUAACCUAAUACGUUAGUGUUUUGACGUUACCGACAGAAUAAGCACCGGCUAACUCUGUGCCAGCAGCCGCGGUA